GCAUCACAACGGCUUCCUGAAGUGAUGCGUUAUUUCACACUGGAGCA
rnacentral:ncRNA from 1 species